rnacentral:rRNA from 1 species
ACUCAAAUGAAUUGACGGGGAGGCACACAACCAGUGGAACAUGUGGUUCAAUUCGAUACGAACCGAAGAACCUCACCAGGGCUUGACAUACUACCGUACAGCUACCUGGAAACAGGUGGCAAUCCGCAAGGAUGGUAGUACAGGUGCUGCAUGGCUGUCGUCAGUUCGUUCCGUGAGGAGUGCCCUUAAGUGGGACAACGAACGCAACCCCUAUCUUGUGUUAUAUUUGUCACAAGAGACUGCCCUCGAUUUACUCGGGGAAGGAAGGAGGGGCAGACGUCAAGUCAGCAUGGUCCUUAUGCCCUGGGCUACACACAUGUUACAAUGAGGAGGACAAUGGGUCUUGCAAGCGCGUAAGCGCAAGCCAAUCCCCAAACCUUCUCUCAGUAGGGAUUGAGGUCUGCAACUCGACCUCAUGAACGUGGAAUUGGUAGUAAUCGUAGGUCAGCUAUACUACGGUGAAUACGUUCUUGCCUCUUGCACACACCGCCCGU